GCGGGAGAUAUAAGAGCUAUAUAAGAUGCUACUUUUAGAGAUUUCUAGAGAGAGAACGAAAACUCUUUUUGGUCCACACCGUUAGUAAAUUGUUUAAUCUUGUGCUGUGAGGAUGAGUGUCCCGCUGUCUGUUGCUGUGACUCUAGGGCUGCUGUUCUAACUGUCUGUGGGACUGAACGAGCAGGUGGCCGAGGGCUGUACUUGUCUUCAAAGACACCCUCAACGGGUGUUCUGUGAGUCUGAUAUUGCGCCGAUUGGCCAAUAUAACACAAGGCGGGAAUUUUUUGUCGAAUUUGCUGAAGACGCAGCACUGACUGCAGGCCAGAACGGAGUCAUUUGCAGAGCCACCUGAAAGAAGAACUAAAUAAUAAAGUUAAAUAGCGGGCCAGCGGCACAAGCAGCCACACAGGCGGCGAAGCAGGCGGGAAGAGAGUCGUCGUGAAAGACUCAGAGUACGGUGGGACAGUAGCAGGCAGGCGGUUAUGAAGCAGACGAGGAGUCGUGAGGCCACAGGAGUGACGUUCCGCUGAUCUACAUGGAGUUUAAUAGGAUUGCUGGUAAGAACUUGAAAAGGGAAUUUUACGAGACCCUUGACCAACAUAGUACAUGCCUCUUGGACAUUUUCAGAGCCAAAAAGGGAGUUGCUGGUCAGCUCUUGAUGAACCUUCUGAAGCAAACAAAGCUAUCAGAGCCAACAGAAGUCCGAACUCUGGUGCUUCAAGGACUACCCCUUUGGUUUGGAGAUGACUCUACUGCUUUCUUUAAGAUAUGUUUGAUGUCUGAUGAUCACAGCUCAAUUCUUGAUGUGCCAGUGGGGAUUGUGAUAGUUGAAGAUGGGACGACUCUUAAGCCCCUCAACUCUCUGCAUUCGUCUCCCUCUUCGAUUGGAAUAGUAAUCGAGGGAAAAUUAGUGAUGGACAAUCUACAUGACCUUCCUGAAGCAAUGUGCCUUCUGUUCGGGACUAAUUUAUGCAUUGCACCUGAGUUACCCAAAGUCGCUGAGAUACACGUUUGACUUCAUUCAGCGCAUUCUACUUUCCUUGGGGCAGAAAGACCUGCAGCCUAAAACACAGUUGUUGGCAAACCAGCUGUUUGGUUAAAAUGGAGAAAUUGCAUGGCGCACUUUUAAUAGCAACACAUUUACAUUACACAUGGUCUUUUGAAAAUGAGACUGUUAAAAAUGAGUUUACUAUUAAGAUUUAUUAAGUUUUACUCAUGUGUCUUUUAAAAAUUAGCUUACUGUUUUGCUUGUUUUGUAAAUUGUGAGCUUACUGUUAUGAAUAUGAGCUUACUGUUUUUUUUUAAUGUGAGCUCAAUGUUUUGUAAAAAUGUUAGCUUACUGUUAAACAUGAGCUUAUUUUUUUUUUAUGUGACUUAAAAAUGCAGCUUACAGUUAAAAAUGAGCUUACUGUUAAAAAUAUGAGCUUAAAGUGCCGUUCAAGUGUCUUAAUGUGGCUUAAAAAUAUAAGCUUGAUGUGAGCAAUGUUUCCUAAAUUAAUGUAAAUGUAUAAACCAAAUAAAGCAGUUUAUGGAAAUACAA